rnacentral:lncRNA from 1 species
CAUGGCCAAGCCCCAUGUCCACCUCUCCCCGACCACCCUAAGGAGCUCCCACCCAGAAGCGGGAGGAGAUGUCCAGAAAGCUGGGAAUUGACCUGAAGUAAAUUCAACAGAAUACCAUUAAAAACAGGGAG